GAGUGAGUGGCUGCUUUUCGAGAGCACAACCUUGUAAAGAAAACUUGUACAAAGAAUUUUGUGUGCUUGUUCUAUGGAAUGAUUUGGAAGCACAGCUGAAGAAGGCAACCUGCUGACUUUUCUUUGAAUGCACAGGACUAAAGAGAAUCGCACCAAAGAGAAUAGAAAUUCUGUUCUUGCUGCACAUCUUCAGUUUUCAUGGAUUAUUAUCAGGCAUGUGG